rnacentral:misc_RNA from 1 species
CACUUAAUGCUGGCACAUCUUGUUUAUCUUAUCCUGAGCACUGAAAUCAAAUUCUGAGUUACGGUCUUUUAUUCCUCUUAUUCUUUCAAGGUUGGAGUGUGGUGUGGUGAAGACAUCUAGAGUCGAGGUGAACAGGUGUUGGUAUGCAUCUGAGGAUAAUAAGUUCUUUUACAAGUGAAAACUGUUUCAUUUGUGAAACUUGUAUUUUGAAUGUUUAUUUCAUAAUCUGCAAGGAGAAAAUAAUUAUACACGGUGAAAUAAGCUGAGAAAGUCGUUUCAAGGGAACGAAGUCUAAUUCUCAAGCGUAAAGAUAGUAUUCAGUAGUCUCCCCUGCAUUGGUCCAGAGAGGGGUCAGGGCACACAGGACCACUCCCCUUCUUAUCGAAAUAAACAUUAAGUGGCGUGAGGCGCCUUUAUGUGUACUGACAACACACACUUAUCUCUCUGUCACACAUACGCUUUUUGAUCGAACCUACAGAGUUGGGCUUUACCUAGUUCGCUAAGGAACCUGUAACAAAUGAAAAAAAAAAUCAUCCGCAAGCUUUCAAUUGACAAGCAUAUAAGGACUGACUGAGCGACUGCGCAUGUUAUUCAGGUGAGUUGCUAUGGGUUGCUACCUGUUUGUUGCGUAAACAUCAAGAUGGCGACAGGCUCGCAAGCUCAGCUCACAGAGUCGACAUGCAGCGUGUGUUUUGAACAUUAUCGUCUACCCAAGGUACUGCCGUGUUCUCGUGUCUACUGUCACCUGUGUCUCCGCUCCAUGGCCACAGCUAAAGAUUCUGGCUUCAGCUGCCCGAUAUAUCGUCAGGAGGUGAACAUCACUGAACAAGAGGUCGAUGCUUUACAGACACAUUAAAUCUUGAAGGCUCAAAAUGGGAACACUGCUAGAGACUUUCCAUUCUGCGACAAAAGAUAACAGUGAUAUAACGAUGAAGUCCCAGAUUACAACAGAGGAUGCUGCUUCAAGUGUAGUCAUAAAGAGAAAAUCGCUUCCUCAGGAAAUGUACAAAGGGAUAAAAUUUUCUGAGAAUUCUAAGACAGAGCUGAACAGUUUAACACUUAGCGCUGAAAAUAAACUGUGGGUGAGAUACCGGCCUCCAGGUCUUCUUGUUUCUUUGCUGAGUGUCUACGACUGUGGAGGAAACCGUCUCGGGCAGUACAUUGAAGAGUCUGUGACAGGGUUGUCCUUGACCUGUCUAGGAGAUGUCCUUGUGUCACCUCUGACAUGGCGGUGGAUUGACCCUGAUGGGCAGAGUGGCAGCUUUGACCUCCCUCCCAACGCCUGGGCCUUGUGUUCCAAGUCACUCCCCCCUCACAUCCUACUUCGUGCUUCUGUCUCCGAGUCUUCUGAUAAAAAGUCUGAAUUCUCUGUGCACCGCUUGCAGCAGUUGUCGGAGGAUCAGGUGAAGGUCUCAAUGUGUCCAGUCAUCACACAAGGCCUCGCAUUUGAGGAGGCACCAAAGGCCUUUGAUGUGUCAGAUGACGGAAAAUGGCUGGCAGUUGUGGUGAAGGACAGGAUUGAAGUUUACUACACUGACCGUACAGCUGCCGGCUUUUGUCGGUGUCGCCAAAGGAAGAUGCUAUAGACAUCGCAUUCACCACGCUGUCUACAAAACCUGUAUUGGCUGCAGCCUCCAGGGAAUCUUUAUUCGUCUAUGAUUUCCUAGAUGGUUUCGUCAAGCUUAUGUGCUUGCAUUAUAUUUACAUUAAUGUUUCGUGUAGAUACCUAGCAGCACACAAUGAUAGUACUAUAUGGUGUGCAUCAAGGCGAAAUGUUUGUAGGCUGGACGUUAAACGUGAAACAUUAUGCGACGAUUGUCUGAAAAAUGACGACUCAUGAGCUACACGCUGAUCAUUUUCCUCCUUCAUAGUACUAAAGAACCUGCUUCCUCCUCUUGUAAAGCGAUUAUGUUUGUAGAGAGCAUUUUUGUCACCAAUAACUGAGAUCACUGGUGUAUAAUAUUGAGAAGCAUGUGUUUUCCAUACUAAACAGAGCUACAGUCAAGUGUAUGACUCACUUGACAAUACUACCAGUCAAUGUUUCAUUUACUAAUAAUGCAUCCGCUCGUCUCUCGGUGAUAUUGAAUAUGUUAUACAACACUAUCAACUAAUAAAAGCUACCAGUCUUAACUGCAAGAGAACGAUGAUUGACUUACAAUUAAACAUAUUUUUAAUUUUCUUGUACUUCAUGAAGAGGUAGCACAAUACAGUUGAUGUGUACUAAGAUGAGCGUAAUUCUUUAUAGUAACUCUCAAGAAAGGUAAAUUGAAUUGGUGUCUUUGAACUUAUACAUGAUUUUGCACAUUUAGUAUUUCUGGUAACCAGAGGGUUUCUCCUGCCGCCACCUCAUAUAUCGGGGUUUGCCCUACGUGGGUACCUGAGACAGCAGUUUCUUUGCCAAAGUCUUCACUAAGCCUGCCAUUAACGAAUAUGGCCAUCCUCCUACCACAGUCUCCCGGUGUGGUCUAGAAGGACGACUCUUCAAGAUUUGUAAAGUAGUCAUCACAUCCAGUAGAGGCUUUUGUCAAAAAUAUGCGCCAAGCAUCACUUGUUACCUGUGAUUUCACUUUUACCCAGUCGUUGGUAAACAAUAUCUUUCUCCUCAUUGCUUUUCUCCGAAUUCAGGUCAUACUGGACCAUAAUUGACAAUACCAAUCAUUCUGUCUUCACAUACUCUCCUGCAAGAGAGGUCAUUAGCCCACUCUAUCGGUUCGUUUAUAUAUUCCCAAGCCUGUUAUUUUUUCGACAAUACCAGGUUCCUUUGGAAUCCUACCUGCCUUGACUCCGACAUAUUAAAUGCAAGACACUUCCUUUAUUUGCUAUAGUUUAUAGUUAGAUGCCCCAGCUAGUCUCUGGGAUGACUCUGCCUAAUAUAGAUUGUCUACCUUAUUCCCAUUUGUUUUUUGGGGUUUUUUUUAGUUGUUCUAUUCUGUUGAGCAAAGUUUAAAGGGGGAAAAAACAGCACCACCAGCUGUAUUUGUGUAUUUUUCGUAUCUUUAAUAUGAUUGGAUGGUUAGCCAAUUUUGUAAAUACUUUCAUUGCAAUAUUCUAUAUUCAUCUUGAAAUGCUGUAACUAUUUAUUGCUUAUUAUGGCAUUAUUCAAUCAUAUAUGUCAUAACUAUUCUAUUCUUAAUUGCCGUUUUUUAUGAAGCACAAACUAUUCCAUGUAGUUCAGAUAUCCCCUUUUGCGUACUGAAGGUUUUGUUUGUUUUUGUUUUUGUUUUUUAGUUUUGAAUUGUUUAUUGUUGUAAUAAAGUUAAAGACACUCUGUCGGGAUGACACAGGUGGUAUAUGUACGGAUAUAUGAUACCAUGAAAUUUCUUGAACACAGUUGGCUAGGACUUUUCGCAAUGUGUUGAGUUACCAGAACUUAAAGAAAGAAAAGUCUAGUAAUGAGACGGAGGGAAGGGAUGGAGGGUCUCGAUCUCAAGCUGCUUGAUUGUUGUAGUUACCUGUAUCGUGGUAGAUUCAUUAACAGUAUUGCUUAUGGUUGUAACGCUUAUCAUAGACUCAUGAUAAAUAAACUGUUGAAUUUCUUUUUUUUUUUUACAAUAACUGUUGUCGUUGUCUUGUUGAAAGAAUGAGUUAGAAAAAUUCGAACUAUCGCUCUCCUUCGCUCUUGGGUCAUCUGAAUUAUGCAUCUAAGGAAAGGAAGGAAUUAAAAAGAUUAUAACAGCUUUAAAAGAAUAAAUAUAUUUGUUUUUUUCGGAAUCUCUUUGACCCCCAGCUAAAACAUACAGUGACUUUGCAUCUGGAGUCUAGUACGUGCAGGCGAGAUGAAUGCUAUUCCGAGAAACGAAAUAGAAAGUAGCUUUGAAUUCAGUGAGCUGAUGAGAAACCCAUUUCAUGUGGGAAGGUCAGACGGUGCGUGGGCGCCAUAGGAUGGAAUGUCUGACAGCUUGCAAUUUCCUGACACACAUGUAGAAAUGUUAGAGAUGGCACUUCGCCGAUUUGCCAGCGCGUCAAGUAAGAAAUAACUAAUAGAAAGGAAGAUCGAAAAGCAGACAUGAAAGAGACAGAGGGAAAGUCCGGUAACUGCAGUUUCGGUUACUCUGUUUUUUUGUUUUUUGUUUUUGUUUUUGUUUUUUGUUUUUUUGUUUGUUUGUUUUUUUAUUUUUGUUAGUUUGUUGUUGUCUACACACAAACCCAAAUUUCGAUCGAACCAGUCCGCCAAAAGAGCUGACUUUUCUUCCACAGCUUGUACACAGCGGAGACCACUGCACGCAGGACCACUCCCUCUUUGUUGUGACUCGUACACUGGCUUCACACACGUUGUUCAUCGAGCCUACAACGUUCGCUGGAGUAGCUUUUACAGUAGCCACCAGCUGACUUCCACUGAUGUUUGAUUGACAGUCAUAAAAAGACGAACUAAAACACUGGCACGUGUGCAGUAUUGAGUGAGAGACGAAAUUUCUACUUAUUAGCCGCUCGUCAACCUUUCGUUAACACGAACAAGAUGGCGACAGGCUCGCAAGCUCAGCUCACAGAGUCGACAUGCAGCGUGUGUUUUGAACAUUAUCGUCUACCCAAGGUACUGCCGUGUUCUCAUGUCUACUGUCACCUGUGUCUCCGCUCCAUGGCCACAGCUACAGAUUCUGGCUUCAGCUGCCCGAUAUGUCGUCAGGAGGUGAACAUCACAGCUCAGGGAGUCGACGAUUUACAGGAAAGAGAGAGGGAGAGACAGAGCGUGUAGGUGGUUGGGUGGUAGAAAUGUGUGUGUGUGUGUUAGAGCACGUGCACUCGUCUGUAUGCAUAGGAAUGAUGCGACCAGCUCGUGCGAAUAUCGUGCAGUGCUCACGUGACAGCGCAAUUGAUACAAAUUAUCACCCAUAGACCCCACAGACACUCAUUUACAUCUUGGAAGCUCAAGAGAAACAUUACUAGAGACUCUACAUUCUGCGAAGAAAGAUAACGGUGAUAUGAAGGAGAAAUCACUUAUUUCAACAGAGGGUGCUGUGUCAAGUAUAGUUCUGACAAGAAAAUCGCUUUCUCAAGAUAUCUUCAAAUGUUUCAAGUUUUCUCAGAAUCCUAAAACACAGCUAACAAGUUUAACACUUACUGCUGGAAACAAACUGUGGGUGAGAUACCAUCCGCCUGACACUCAUGUUUCUUUGGUGAGUGUCUACGACUGUGGAGGAAACCGUCUCGGGCAGUACAUUGAAGAGUCUGUCACAGGGUCGUCCUUGACCUGUCUAGGAGAUGUCCUUGUGUCACCUCUGACAUGGCGGUGGAUUGACCCUGGUGGACAGAGUGGCAGCUUUGACCUCCCUCCCAACGCCUGGGCCUUGUGUUCCAAGUCACUCCCCCCUCACAUCCUACUUCAUGCUUCUGUCUCCGAGUCUUCUGAUAAAAAGUCUGAAUUCUCUGUGUACCGCUUGCAGCAGUUGUCGGAGGAUCAGGCGAAGGUCUCAAUGUGUCCAGUCAUCACACAAGGCCUCGCAUUUGAACGGGAACCACAGGCCUUUGAUAUGUCAGAUGACGGGAAAUGGCUGGCAGUUGUGGUUGAAGAAAGGAUUAAAGUGUACUACACUGACUGUACAGGUGUGAGGCCCUUUUUAACAUCACAAAUACUAUGGCCUAAAGACAUCGCGUUUACCACACUGUCUACACAGCCUGUAUUGGUUGCAGCCUUCAGUGCAUCUUUUAUGGUCUAUGAUUUCCUAGACGGCUUCUUCAAGCUCAAGUGUGGGCAUUAUAAUUACAAUUCCUGCAUAUGCCUAGCAGCACACAACAAUAGUACUGUAUGGUGUGAAUCAAGGGGAAAUGUUUAUACGUGGGACCUUAAACGUGCAACAUUAUGUGACACUUGCACGUAAAAAAAAACACAUCUCAUGAGCUACAAGCUGAUCAUUUUUAUGCUCCAUGGUAGGUAAAGAAGCUGCUUCUUCCUCUUGUAAAGCGAUGUAUGUUUGUAGAGAACAUUUAUAUUAUAUCAUCAAUAACUGAGAUUCACUUGUAUAAUAUUGAGAAGUAUGUAUUUUACAUACUAAACAGAGCUACAGUCAAGUAUAUGAUGCACUUGACAAUACUACCAGUCGAUGUUUAAUUUACUAAUAAUGUAUCAACUCUUUUCUCGGUGAUAUUGAGUAUGUUAUACAACACUUUCAACUAAUAAAAGCUAGCAGUCUUAACUGCAAGAGAACGA